UGCCCGGCCGUGGCGCGGCGGGGUCCCGGGAGAGCGCGGCACCCCGGGGAUCCGCUCCUUUCCGGUGGCCACGUGUGCGCGGGUGUGAAACUUAGCAGCCCCUCGUCCCACUGUUAAGAGGGGAGGGGACGAGAGAGAAGGAAGAGCCGCGCGUGAGGCGGCGGCUCAGCUCCGCUGUGCGCGGGCAGUGGGGAGGCGGCGGGUGCCGCUGCGGAGCGCUCCCAGCUUAGACAGCCGAGGGACCGAGCGGGCAGGAGACACACGGAGCAGACACACGGCCGGGAGGAGACGGGGUCCCCCACCCCCGGCACUGCGCGCUGGGAGCUGCCCGUGCCGCCCCUGGGCUCCUCCGCGCUCCUGCGCGGUGCGGAACCAAGCGCGCAGGCGGCGGCUGCUGCUGCUGCAGGUGAAGCCCUCUCUCUCCGUUUACUUUUCCCAAGAGGGAGAAGAAGGCAGCAGGAGGGGGACGCGGCGCCGUGCGGGGCGGGCAGGCCAAUCAGCGCCGCUGUAACGCAGGGAUCGCUGCAGGACGCGCCGGGUUUUCCUCCCAUCUUCUGCUGCCGGGGCUGAAUCGGGACCGCACGGACCGGCGGAGCCGCACCGGGCUGCAGGACUUCCUCACCCGCCGCUUCUCCGGCAGUGAAUCCCUAUACUUCUCCUAUUUUUUUUUUUUUCCCCCCUUUUUUAAUACUCUGAAAUCGUCCACGAGAGACAUUUCGUGUCUCCCUUCUUUCCCCACGCACUUAACACCUCCAGCGGCAUCACCCCGCAGAAUCCCCGCUUUCUCCGGGGGAGGCUGAGCCGGGCACGGAGCCGCUCCAUGCCGCGGGCCGUGUGCCGGCGAUGCCCGGGCGCUGAGGCCGGAGCUCCCCGUUGACGGGAGGCGGCCGAGCGCGGGGUGCUUCCAGCAGCGCGGAGCGGCCGCAGGAUGAAUAAGAGAUACUUACAGAAAGCAACAAAAGGGAAGCUGCUAAUAAUAAUAUUUGUUGUAACGCUGUGGGGGAAAUUAGCAUCUGGAGCAAAUCAUCAUAAAGCUCACCAUGUUAAAACUGGGACCUGUGAAGUGGUGGCACUCCACAGAUGUUGCAAUAAGAACAAGAUAGAAGAAAGAUCACAGACAGUGAAGUGCUCCUGCUUCCCUGGGCAGGUAGCAGGUACCACCCGGGCAGCUCCUUCUUGUGUUGAUGCUUCAAUAGUGGAGCAGAAAUGGUGGUGCCACAUGCAACCAUGUCUUGAAGGGGAGGAGUGUAAAGUUCUUCCAGAUCGUAAGGGAUGGAGCUGUUCCUCUGGGAAUAAAGUGAAAACAACUAGGCUGUGGCAGUAUUCGUGGAGCCAAAUGUGAGUGCACUACCUCAAAAUGCCAGCAGUGGAAGCUGGUAAGCAAGUGGGGGAAAAUCACCAAAGGAAUCUGGAGCUUGGGACAAAGGUAGAAAACACAUCAGUACUGCACUAACAAAGCAGCAGGUACCCUCAUAGAGGAGAUAAAAUUACAGGUAAGGAAAUAAUUUAUGUUUCUAUUUUGAUUUCAUCCAAAUGGCUUGUUAUUCUUCAUUCAAAAUCCCUAGAAAAAUAACACACCUGGGGAUAACACAUUACUAGGGAUAAUUUGAAGUUCAAUCUUAGACAGUUUCUGGAAAAAUAUAUUAGAAGGUGAAAAUCCAUUUUAGCUACUAGGUAAUUUAAAAACUCAACCUAGUUUAAAAUAAUGACUUCCUUUUUGUUAGCAUAUUAGACUCGUAGCUCAUUGGUAGAGGUUUCACUUUCCAAUCAAGAAUAAUAGUAGGUUAUUUAGAUUAGUGCUGUAAGUUUGAGUGAAAGACAAAAGGACUCUGCUUUUCCCUUUACUUUCUCAGAGUUAGCAGGGUAGUAUGACUCUAUAAUCCUUCAGAUUGCCUUGUUGUAAAAAGGACUGAGGUUAUUUUUGUCUUCCUUUUGUGACUAUUAGAUGGUGUAAAACAGAAGAAAAUUACAUUUUUUUAAUUAAUUGUCUUGCAGUCUUUUAUGUCGUCAUGCUGCAGUCCCACUGUGGAGUUGUGAUCACCUCCAAAAACCACAAGAGGAUAUAUCCUUGUCUGAAUUACUACAGUUAUUAUCUGUUACAGAAAGUAAAAUAAGGUUUAUGUUUAAGUCUUCUCUCAAUACAAAACUUUUGUCUGUAAAUGAAAAAUUUCGUGAAGUUUUAACAGUCUAACAUAAACUUGAUUUCUCUGCUGAAUUACAGAAUCACUGAGAAAGUUUAGUUAUGGACAUUGUAGUGACAUUGUCUUUUGGAAGAGAUUAACAACAAAAUACAUUUGAAAAAGUAAUGAAUUAUAUUUAUCUUUGACAUAACUCAAAUGUCUUCAUCAGUUAUAUACUAUGAUAAUUGUCCCAGUGCAUUAUAUCAAUUACAUUUAUUUUGUAAAAUAUCAAAUUCAAGUGAAUGUGAAUCCAGAGCCACAUUUAUUUCUCUGAUAAUAUUUUAAAUAUGUAGUUAUUUUAUUAAAUCAAGGGACCAUCCAACUUAUGAGUUUUAUCUUGUAAUAGACGUUUCUAAUAAUCUGCAGUAGGACAUUUAUGUUAAAAGGUCUAAUAGAAAAAGAAAAAAAGGAAGAUAAUUAUCUUUCGUAAGCAUUAUUUAAAGAAAAUAAGUUGGUCUUUUGAGGUGCUGUGAAACCCUUUUCAGAAGCAGUCAGAAUUUAUCAGCAAAUCCAAAACUUAUCUAAAAAAUCUCAAAAGAUAAGGAAAUAGGUGCCUGAAUUAAACAGCAUGUUUUGAUGUUAUUUUAUGGUGUUUCCUGUAGCCUACUAGCCAUAGAAGAGACUGUAAGUAGAGUUCUCCUCUGAAUGCACAUUUUUGUCAAACUUGAUGCAAUUGAGUUCUUUUGCUUUUGUUUUGUGGUUUUUUUUUUAAAUGUAUUUAAUGUAUUUUUUAACGUUAAGAAAACACUCAAGUCUUUCAUUUAGAAGGAAAUGUAUUCUGGUCACAUGUCUCUUAUUUGUAUCAAAGUUCUAUUCUAUUCAAUUCUUUCAAUUACUGUUUAAUAAUAGAACACUGACAUACGUGCAGAAAUGAGAGCAAAUGCUACUUAUCCACUUCUGUUUGGUUUUCUAGACAAAUCACGAAGUCUGAAUUUGAGUAUAUUUGAACCUUUUCCUUUGAAAUUGCUGUUAUUGUUCAGGUUAUUUUUUGAGACCAUGCUCCUUUGCUAAGAGAAUUUACUUUGGUUCUGAAAUAUGUUUCCUCCUGUUGUUCUGCACUUUUACCUGUAAGUUAAAGAAAAUUCCAUCUAUCCCAGUUUUGUUUUCUGUAAGUAAUUCCAUAACAGUGUAGUACUUGACAUGUGUUUGUUUCUUAGGCAAACGUGUAAAACUCUUCAAGUCCGAAUGGAGAAGUAGAGAAAGGAGGUUUCUGCUGUGCCUGAUGACAAUUUAUGAUUUUUCCACACAUACUAAAUAAUCUGGCUCCACGUUGGAGCACUAGUUGUGAUGAAUCCUAGUCAUGGUCGGAUUCUAAGGAAGGGCCAGAACGUUCGUUGAGGAAUAAAGAGUCAAACCACUCCAGAAAAUGUGUUCCAGCCCUGGUUUAUUACUCACAGAGCAGCAGGUAACCCGAUAGCUAAAGACAAAUCAAGUCGGUCUCAAGGCUGAUAACGUUAAAUACAGCACAUAGGAAUUUCAUUUCUCCAGGCAAUCCUUGAAGUGAAAUUUUGUACUGCUGGGGUGUAGCCUUCAGAAUCAAUUGUUUCAAUGAGAACCUGGUUUGUAAUCAACAACAGCCUUGAGAUCAAAACUACUGAAGAGUUAUUUUGAACUUCUGUAUCACAAAGAUUUCAACGGAGUGAACUGUGUACACUUGUAAAAUUGCACUUGCAGAGGAAUUUGCAGCUGUAAUCUCAAGAGAUGGUUUUUGAAAGGUGCAGAAAAUCAGCAAUCAUUCGGAUUCUUCUUUCCAGACUGGUGGCAUUUCAUCCUGAUGAAGUCACUCUCCAAAAUGCAUUGGUUCCUCCCCUCUAAAAUGAUCCCUGGUCCACAUUCCGAUUGCUGGUGGGACUGCACACUGCUUUAAUUAAAUUUCCAUUGCAGAAAUUGUCCUCUGGCAUGGCACAAUUUUAGACAUUUUUAUUUGUAAUCUAAUCUUGGAGCUCUAAAGGGUACAUAUUUCAACAUCUUGAAGUUGCUUUUGUUAUAGGAAUGGAAAUAUAUACCCAUUGUUAAUAAUUAUUGUUGACAAGUAAUAGUUAUCUGAAUACAUCAGUCAUAUUAGAAUGUAUAGUCGGGUUGACAUGUUUCCCUAAGGCUAACCAACUACUGCAGCUAUUUGGCAGUUAAAAAAAGUAGUGGUCAAAACUCAAUUACCACUUCCAUUAUAAAGCAUUUUAUACCUUUAAGAUAUAUAUUUCAAUUUACUUUGAAGGAGGCAAGUGUUCCUGCACUUUACUUUCCCAACCUUUAAAUCACUGAAAUUCAUGGUAAGCAGUCAAGGAAAGUGUUUCAUCCAUUUUUAUAAAAGUAGGCAGGGAUGUAAAUGAGUUUUUCAAUUAUGAAAUUGGGUGGUAAUCAUUCAGAUUUUUUUCUCUUUUCAGUGAAAAAUAAAAUCUCUUGCUUGAAACUAAGUACUGUUGGAUGCUUAUGUAGAUGUCUGCUCAGACUGAUUGCUAUAAAGGAAAAAUGUCCUAGUGCCCUCCUAGAUAUAGGGUUCAUGAGUAUUUUGCUUGCUUACUGUCCUCAAAUUCAAACCUAAUCUGUGCCAAAAUCACAUUUUCUUUUUUUAAUAUUCUAUUUCAGUAGCAAUUUUUUGAACCUUGUGAUGUGCUGUUACAUGAAAAAACCUCCAUAUUUAAAGGCCUUAAGCAUCUAUGAACUUUUUUUCUAAGUUAUCACAGAAUGUAUAAUUUUAUACUUCAUUUAGUGUAUAUUGUGCCAUCUGUAAUAUUGAUACAACAAAAAUUUGGCAAUUCCUUUUAAUGACACUACAUAAGCAUGCUAACUGAGAGUGAGAGAGUUCUGACUGUAUGCUUUUGUGCAUUAAAUGAUAAGCACACACACUUAAUGAUAGGCAAAAAAUAUAUAGGAUGAAGCUUAUUUAGAAGUCCUGUGUGGUUACCAAGCUCUCUGAAAAAAGAUGGAAAUGAUUUUUUCAUUACGAGCUAUUGACAUGGCAAGGUAAUUAUAUAUAAAGUUCCAUGAUGUUUGCAUACCUUGGAGGGAUCUGCCUGUCACGCUAUCCCCGGCUGCUCCAAAACCAUUUCAUUACCUCUGUUGUGUUACUGCACAGGAGAUCUUAAAGAAAAUAAAUGAUUGUUGGGAAUAAAAUUGAGAAAUAUCUUCUGUCAUUCUGCUGAGAAAUAAUAAAAAAUGUUGGCAGGGAAAAAUAUUCUUUUCUGAUUGAAAUUUAGUUAGGAUAAACUGUAGCAGCAAUUAGGUAUCUCGGUAUUUUAGGAUGGAUUAGUAAUGAAUGGAUUUGUGCUAACGGAUGAUGUGCUAAUGCAGGAUGGAAGGUAGCAUCUUAAAAAGACUGGGACAGUGCAAAGUAUUAAUGUGGUGUUUUGUAAAAUCUGAAUAUGAACUGUCUUUGGUUGAAGGUCCGCAUCAUGCUUCUCAAUAUCGUUUUAUUUGUUCCUUUGUUCUUAAACCAACACUGAAAAUACUGUAUUAUAUACAAGUGUAACACAUGCAUAUCAAUAAGUGAAAAUAAAUGGAUUUUCAAAUAUACCGAGUAGAUUAUCUGCAGUAGAUUAAUGUUGUGAUAAUUCAUAACAAGUGAAUAAAAUUGUGAUAUAAAACAGA